rfam:Puccinia sorghi strain RO10H11247 Scaffold_652, whole genome shotgun sequence.
GUGUCUGUAGGCUAGUUGGCAAAGUCAUGAAUCUAUUAUCAGUCUGACUUCUAUGCUGAAUUCAUGGGUUUGAAUCCCAUCAGAAACA